CACAGAGGAACAGAAAAUUGGGCUGCUUUUGCAAUCUACAACAGUGUUUUACCGAAAUAAGAUAAUUAGAGAAGUAUUUUGGGAAACUUAUUUACACUGGCAAAUGCCCUUGUGACUCUCACCAGACCUGUGAAUAGUUUAUUCCUACCAAGAUAGCCACUCUGUAGGAGAGCCCUGACUGGAAAAGAAGUUAGGUUCGGGUAUGUUGGUCGUGUGAGAUGCAGAAGAGGCAGCACAACAAAACACAUGGUAUAUUAAUCCGUUUUCACACUGCUAAUAAAGACAUACCAGAGACUGGGUAACUUAUACAGGGUAGAUGUUUAAUGGACUCACAGUUCCACAUGGAUGGGAGGCCUCACAAUUAUGAUGGAAGGCAAGGAGGAACAAGUCACGCCUUACAUGGAUGACAGCAGGCAAAGAGAGAGCUUGUGCAGGGAAACUCCCCUUUUUAAAACCAUCAGAUCUCGUGAGACUUAUUCACUAUCACGAGAACAGCACAGGAAAGACCCACCCCCAAGAUUCAAUUACCUCCCACUGGGUCCCUCCCACAACAUGUGGGAAUUGUGGGAGCUACAAUUCAAGAUGAAAUUUGGGUAGGGACACAGCCAAACUAUAUCACAUGGAAUAAUAGAAGCAGUUUUAUUACUCACAUAUACCCUAGAGAGAAGAGAGCAGCACAUUUUUCAGGACCGACAGGAAGGAGGGAGUCCAGGACACACACUCAACUGUCAAGUGGGGAGCAAGAGAGAUAGAGUAAGAGACCUGAGGUCCAAAGACUUUAUUGGGGUUCAGGCCAUUUCCUAGGUAGAUUUCCGGUGGGGAGUUACAACUGGUGGGUUUAAGAGCAAGUGGGCAGUUUGAUGCAGUCCUGCAGUGACUGAAAGGUGGUCACUGUGGCCUAUCUACAAAGCACAUGCCACAUGUGGGAGUGGGUAGAGCAAGUAGGUUGAAUGUAACUAUCUCGUAGGGAAGUAGUCACCAGGAGGCAGUUAAUGAGACAGAUAUCUGAAUGAAACACCUUGAAAAAC
rnacentral:lncRNA from 1 species